AAUGAACGCUGGCGGCGUGCCUAACACAUGCAAGUCGCACGAGAACGUUUCAGCUUGCUGAGACUAGUAAAGUGGCGCACGGGUGAGUAACGCGUGGGUAAUCUACCUCCGAAUUGGGGAUAACAUUGCGAAAGCGGUGCUAAUACCGAAUAAUAUCCUCAGGACUCCGGUCUUGGAGAUCAAAGGUGGCCUCUACAUGUAAGCUACCGUUUAGAGAUGAGCCCGCGUACCAUUAGCUUGUUGGUAGGGUAAUGGCCUACCAAGGCUUCGAUGGUUAGCUGGUCUGAGAGGAUGAUCAGCCACACUGGAACUGACACACGGUCCAGACUCCUACGGGAGGCAGCAGUGAGGAAUUUUGCGCAAUGGGGGAAACCCUGACGCAGCAACGCCGCGUGAGUGAUGAAGGCCUUCGGGUCGUAAAGCUCUGUCAAGUGGGAAGAAACUGCCCUAUGCAAAUACCAUAGGGUAUUGACGGUACCACUGAAGGAAGCACCGGCUAACUCCGUGCCAGCAGCCGCAGUAAAAC
rnacentral:rRNA from 1 species